GGGGCUAUAGCUCAGCUGGGAGAGCGCUACAAUGGCAUUGUAGAGGUCAGCAGUUCGAUCCCGCUUAGCUCCACCA
rnacentral:tRNA from 1 species